UUCCGGUUGAUCCUGCCGGACCCCACUGCUAUCGGGAUAGGACUAAGACAUGCUAGUCGUGUGCCUCAGCCAAAACGAGGCCACGGCGCACAGCUCAGUAACACGUGGCUAACCUGCCCUUAGGACGAGAAUAACCCCCGGGAAACUGGGGCUAAUGCUCGAUAGGUGAAGAACUCUGGAAUGAGUCUUCACUUAAAAGAGUCUGCGCUAUGCUCGUAGAUUUCGCUUAAGGAUGGGGCCGCGACCGAUCAGGUUGUUGGUGAGGUAAUGGCUCACCAAGCCUUUUACCGGUGCGGGCCGUGAGAGCGGGAGCCCGGAGAUGGGCACUGAGACAAGGGCCCAGGCCCUACGGGGCGCAGCAGUCGCGAAAACUUUGCAAUACACGAAAGUGUGACAGGGCUAUCCCGAGUGCCAUCCGCUGAGGAAGGCUUUUACCCAGUCUAGAACGCUGGGGGAAUAAGGAGAGGGCAAGUCAGGUGUCAGCCGCCGCGGUAAUACCAGCUCUCCGAGUGGUGUGGAUGUUUAUUGGGCCUAAAGCAUCCGUAGCUGGCUAAGUUAGUCCCCUGUUAAAUCCAACGAAUUAAUCGUUGGAUCGCGGGGGAUACUGCUUGGCUAGGGGACGAGAGAGGCAGACGGUAUUUCCGGGGUAGGGGUGAAAUCCUAUAAUCCCGGGAAGACCACCAGUGGCGAAGGCUGUCUGCUAGAACGCGCCCGACGGUGAGGGAUGAAAGCUGGGGGAGCGACCCGGAUUAGAUACCCGGGCAGUCCCAGCUGUAAACGAUGCAGGCUAGGUGUUUGGACGGCCACGUGCCGUUCUAGUGCCGCAGGGAAGCUGUUAGCCUGCCGCCUGGGGGAGUACGAUCGCAAGAUUGAAACUUAAAAGGAAUUGGCGGGGGAGCACCACAAGGGGUGAAGCUUGCGGUUUAAUUGGAUUCAACGCCGG
rnacentral:rRNA from 1 species